rnacentral:lncRNA from 1 species
GGCUUGGCCAACAUCAAGAUGUGACCUAGAGGGGAGUCUUAAGGCUAUUUCAUAGGAUUUCUAGGCCAAAGUUCUUUCACCUUGCUCCUUUCCUCUCCCUUCUUAUCAAAUACAGUUCUGUCCAAAGGGACCUUGGUGGGAGCAGAGAGCCCAGACCACUCAGGUGAACAUGGAAGAAUGGAAGGAACAUCUGCAACACAGAGAUGGCAUGCACUGGACACAAAGUGGAGAGAGGAAUCUAAGCGCCUGGACCGGUAAACUCAUCUCUAGAGAGAGCCGGGAUGGGCGUGAAGAGUCCGAAAGUUCCCCCAGUGUGGCUACUGGAGCCGGCGGAGACCAAGAAGGAGCAAUCGGGCAGGCAGAGGAAGGAAAGUCCGUCUUGCAGGCCGAUGGGCGCUCUCAUGUCUACAGCUGCAGGGAAACCAGAUUCGGCCUCUCCUGCCACCCUCGUACCUUAAUCUUCACUCUCCUGGAUCCCUCUCUCUCCUAUUUAUUCCAUCUGUUUUCUCUUUCCCAGUCUGUGCCUCUCUCCUUGGGCUCUGUCUCUGGGCCCUGUCUCUGGGCCUCCCCCUGCACCCUCCCUGCUCAGCCCUGUCAGCCAGGCCCAGGCCCCCCAGGACGCGGGAUCCCCAGCAGCCACCGGCACGUGCCAAUCUUCGCCCUGGCGGAGGCGUCUCCAUGGGCCGCGGGCCCCGUGGCGCGCCUCCUGCCCGCGUAAUGCGCUCUAAUAUUUAUUUACAUGCCUUUCAGACUAUUAUUUAUUAAAGUAUCGCUGCCAAC